AUUGAACGCUGGCGGCAGGCCUAACACAUGCAAGUCGAACGAGUGGCGGACGGGUGAGUAAUGUCUGGGAAACUGCCUGAUGGAGGGGGAUAACUACUGGAAACGGUAGCUAAUACCGCAUACUAUCAGAUGUGCCCAUAUGGGAUUAGCUUGUGGGUGGGGUAAAGGCUCACCAAGGCGACGAUCCCUAGCUGGUCUGAGAGGAUGAUCAGCCACACUGGAACUGAGACACGGCCCAGACUCCUACGGGAGGAAGCAGUGGGGAAUAUUGCACAAUGGGCGCAAGCCUGAGGCAGCCAUGCCGCGUGUAUGAAGAAGGCCUUCGGGUUGUAAAGUACUUUCAGCGGGGAGGCGUUACCCGCAGAAGAAGCACCGGCUAACUCCGUGCCAGCAGCCGCGGUAAUUC
rnacentral:rRNA from 1 species